rnacentral:tRNA from 1 species
ACUUUUAUUGUGUAAUCGGUAAGACAUUAGGUUUUCAACUUAAAAAUAGGAGUUCAAUUCUCCUUAAAAGUG